rnacentral:rRNA from 1 species
GAUGAACGCUGGCUGCAGGCUUAACACAUGCAAGUCGAGGGGAAACGCCGGGGAAGUUUGCUUCCCAGGGUGUCGACCGGCGCACGGGUGAGUAACGCGUAACCAACCUGCCUCUGACUGAGGAAUAACCCGUCGAAAGUCGGCCUAAUACCUCAUGGUAUCGUCUGAGGGCAUCAUAGGAAGAUUCAGGAUUUCUUCGGUCAGGGAUGGGGCUGCGUCUGAUUGGCGUGUUGGCGGGGUAACGGCCCGCCAAAGCUACGAUUACUAGGGGUUCUGAGGGGAAGGCCCCCCACAUUGGAACUGCGGCACGGACCAAUCUGCGACGGAACACAGCAGUAAGGAAUGUAGGUCACGGGACGAUAGCGUGACCCAGCCAAGUAGCGUGCAGGAAGACUGCGCUAUGGGUUGUAUACUGCUUGUAUGCAGGGAUAAAGUGAGGGACGUGUCCCUCAUUGACGGUACCGCAUGAAUAAGCACCGGCUAAUUCCGUG